UUUGUAAUUGCAUUAUUUACUCCCAAUCUCCCCACUUCUGCAUAGCUCAUUGGGAUUUUUUCCCAUUCAUUAAUACAUUUCCUGGCCUCAAUUUACACACUCCUCUGCUACCUCUCUCUCUCUCUGUUUCUCUCUCUACCCUACACCUUCUCAAUUAAAUUAUGCUUUAAUGAAAAACCCUCUCUCCACUCUUCCCUACUUCAAUUCUGUUAUAUAUAAUCACCCUCCCAGGGUCCCAAACCUCCCCAACAAUAAGAAAGUCCAUGUUUAUGGUGGCUCUGUUUCAUAGCUCUAGCUUAGCCAGUCUUCACUAGUUCUAUAAAAACCUCCAUAAUCCUGUAUUCUUCUUAUCUGGGGCUGCAGGUUAAUUAAUCAAUCAUGAGUCGAAGAAAUGGAAAUAAUGGUCCAAAGCUUGAUUUGAAGCUGAAUUUGUCACCACCGAGGGCUAAUCGGAGAGCGACGGGGUCUCCGAGCCGAUCGGCUAGUGUUUCUCCAACAUCCCCACCAAGCUCAUGUGUGUCAUCAGAGAAUCAAGAAGACACUGUCAUGUAUUCAAACAGCCCUGAAGCUUCUUCAAUGGUUCUGGUCGGAUGUCCAAGGUGUCUUAUGUAUGUUAUGCUGUCUGAAGACGACCCCAAAUGCCCCAAAUGCAAGAGCACUGUCUUGCUUGAUUUCCUCCAUGACUCCUCCUCCAAUAACAACAACAAGAGAAGGAGCUAGUGAGCUCUCUCCCUCUCUGUCUCUGUCUCUCUGUAUCUACCAGCUUAGCUAGCUAGGGUUUUAUAUAUUGUAAGUUUGUUCUACAAUCAUCUCUAUCAGGUGGCGCUACUUCCGCUCCAUUUUUUUUUGGUUCCUUACUUGAAGAAGAAAGAAAAAAGAAGAAAAAAAAA